GGUCAUGCGGCUGACAUCAGUCAUGGUCGGGGUAAUGGUGAGGAGUCGCAGAGCAGGUACAUGUCCAUUGGGAACUGUCUUUGAGAACAAAUAAGCAAGGCUUGGGAGCAGCUGGUAUUGAGAAUCUGAUUUGCUGAGAAGAUGGAGGAACCAGUCACCAGGGAGUGUCCAGCUUUUCUGGCUUUUGUGGCCUGUUCCAUAGGUCUUUAGAGCCCAUGGGAACCUGUGUCUCUACUGGCUGCUCCCUAAAAACAAGCCUCCAUUACUUGAGUGGGAAUGGAAUCUUUGGCCAUUAAAGGAGGCAGGAAAUGCA